GAUGAACGCUAGCUACAGGCUUAACACAUGCAAGUCGAGGGGCAGCGAGAAAGUGCUUGCACUUUUGUCGGCGACCGGCGCACGGGUGAGUAACACGUAUGCAACCUGCCCUUGUCAGGGGGAUAAGCGGGGGAAACCCCGUCUAAUACCGCAUAUAUGAUUUGGAGGCAUCUUUAAAUCAGGAAAGAAUUAUCGGACAAGGAUGGGCAUGCGGGACAUUAGGUAGUUGGGGGUGUAACGGACCACCAAGCCGACGAUGUCUAGGGGUUCUGAGAGGAAGGUCCCCCACACUGGUACUGAGACACGGACCAGACUCCUACGGGAGGCAGCAGUGAGGAAUAUUGGUCAAUGGUCGAGAGACUGAACCAGCCAUGCCGCGUGAAGGUGACGGCCCUAUGGGUCUUAAACUUCUUUUGCAAGGGAGCAAUAAGGUCUACGUGUAGACCGAUGAGAGUACCUUGCGAAUAAGCAUCGGCUAACUCCGUGCCAGCAGCCG
rnacentral:rRNA from 1 species